rnacentral:lncRNA from 1 species
GUUUUCCUCGUCACUUGCGGAAACAGGGAAUGAAAGUGUCACUAUAUUUUUUCUGAGACAUGCAUGUCCGAUGCCAGGUAGGUGGCCACACUUUUCGUUCGGUCAGGACAAGCAAAAAUGCAUUACUAACAAUGCCAUUCCAUAGACAUUAUUAGACAUAACCAGUUUCAACAGAAAAAUUCACACAUCAUUUGUAUUUAUGUAGAACCUCCAGUUCUAAUACUAAAUCCAAGCAUCCAAGAAUAUACAUAGUAGAACUGAAAUUUUUCACUAGAUGAACCCAAAAUCAUGCAUAAUUCUGGUCUAAACACUGCAACAAGUGAGGUAUGCUCUUAUUGCCUGAAAUAAAAAAUAACUUAAGGAGCACUAUUUUGGCUAUUAAAGAAUCUGGCUAUGAGCAAAUGCAUUAAUAAGAAAAGCAAUGAUUACCUAAUGGAUAAAUCUAGGAAGAACCGGGAUGAAUCAAUACCUGCAACAAUGGGAACUGCAAGN